rnacentral:lncRNA from 1 species
UUCGAGUGACCUUAGACCUGCUGGUAGAGCCCAACCCCCAGCAGUUGCUCGGCAGGUUUGCUCGUUUGCGCUCUUCUUGGAGCCGCGGCAACUCAGGGGCUGCCUGCGGGACCGUCAGAAUCUGCCGCCUUCACAGACGCGUCUUCAGCCACAGGGGGCAGUUCUCCACGCUUUUGCUGGAAAACCCCCCCAAGUACAAACUCAGCGCAAACCUCGUGAGCUCCAGAAGCUGACUCAUCUCUCAAACUUUCCUACUUACACUAAUUUUUCCUUCGUUUUCUUUUGAGCAAUACGUAUCUUUCUCUUUUUCUGAGUUUUUAUGAUUUUGUCCUGGGUUUGUUUGUGCUUAUUGUCUAAUUAGGAUUUCGCUACACCGUAGUGUUAGGGUCGUGCUAUUCUCAAACAUCUCUUUUUCAGACGAACUUUUUUUUUUGCCACUUCUGAAUCUGGGAGUUAGUAUUCUUUAAAUAUGAGGUAAUUUUUCUGAAUUUCAUUUGAUGACUACAAUACCAUAUGGAUUAUAUUUCCAAUAAUCAGAGCUAGUUAUUUAUUUUGAGUAACAGCAUUCAUUGAGUUUUGAUGAUAAACAUUUUGAUUAUUAGUAUAAAUACUAUUUUGUACAGUGGGAAUGGGACAUACCGUGUUCAAUUGCUGAUGGGCCUGUCAUCCCAGGAGACUUUAAGCAAUUACAGUGACCUCCGACAACUGCGUGUGCAUUGGCAUGCAAACGUCUCCAAGAGCCAUUGAGCCAAAACACUGCCAGAGGCUCCGUGUGACACCAGCCAAGCCCUGUUACUUGGGGGUCGUGAGUGUGACAUGCACCCACGGGAGAGGCAAGCACCCACCUGAGGACCAAGGGUGGGGCUGGGGGGCUGCCGCAGGCCCUGGCGUUUUCCUCGAUGCUUCCUCAUCCUGGGUGGGCAGCCUCAGAGCCCCCUUUGCAUGCCUUCUGCUGCGAGAGCUGUUGAAUUCAGAGAGAUGUCCCUUCGGAGAACCGCGGGUGUGA